AACGAACGCUGGCGGCAUGCCUAACACAUGCAAGUCGAACGAGUGCCUUCGGGUGCUAGUGGCGCACGGGUGCGUAACGCGUGGGAAUCUGCCCUUGGGUCUGGGAUAACAGUUGGAAACGACUGCUAAUACCGGAUGAUAUCGCGAGAUCAAAAAUUUAUCGCCCGAGGAUGAGCCCGCGUAGGAUUAGCUAGUUGGUGGGGUAAAGGCCUACCAAGGCGACGAUCCUUAGCUGGUCUGAGAGGAUGAUCAGCCACACUGGGACUGAGACACGGCCCAGACUCCUACGGGAGGCAGCAGUGGGGAAUAUUGGACAAUGGGCGCAAGCCUGAUCCAGCAAUGCCGCGUGAGUGAUGAAGGCCUUAGGGUUGUAAAGCUCUUUUACCCGGGAUGAUAAUGACAGUACCGGGAGAAUAAGCCCCGGCUAACUCCGUGCCAGCAGCCGCCGUAA
rnacentral:rRNA from 1 species